AAAAAGCAUGAGAACAGGUGGGUUUCAGAGAUAGACUGGAGCAAGCCGUAUGGAAUCUGCUUACUCAAAAUCAAAUUAAUGGGGCUUAUAAUAAUAUCAACUUGAUGAUAAUCACAAGUCGACGUUCAAAACAAGAAAGAGAACAUAAUAUAAUAUAAUACAUCACGGAUACAGACAAGAUCACUGUCGGCAUUAAUUUAUUUGCAGCAAAAUAAUUUACAGGAUCACUUUCGCUAAUGCAUUACGUGCGUGCAAUCAAACCGAAAAGCCUAUAGCAAAGAAAGCAAACAAGUUCAGUGUCCAA
rnacentral:lncRNA from 1 species